rnacentral:lncRNA from 1 species
CAGAGGAAUGAUAAAAGUUGAGAACUCUAAGUCCCAUUAGAUUUCCCAGAGUGGAAAAAUACACUAAUUAUUUGGGCUGUCAUCCCAUUACAAUCUCUUCUCCAGUAAAAGGAGCUAUGUACUGGGUGGGAGUGGACCUCACCAUAGAUGGUAUCUGCACAGCAUGAUUUGGCUAUGCGUCUGGGGCUACGCAUUCAGUUGUAUACAAGAGCAGGUUACUCAGCAUCUGAAAGGAUAAGAAUUACAGACAGUGGGGCGCAUGACUUCUCACAAGCGUAACAGAGAAAAGGCAAGAGGAAGCACUUCUAAGGAAAAUCCUGAAUGGGUUUAAGGAAAAAAAUACUCACCAUAAAAGCACAUAAUCACUGGAACGAGUAAACUAGCUCAAGAAAACUAUAGAAUCAGCAGCCUUCAGAACUCAGUUGUACGAGGCCCUGACAACCUGAGCUGGCCUUGAAGACACUUUUGCUUGGAAUGGUGCUUGAACAAGAAAACCACAGAAUUCCAGUUUAUUUCUGUUAUCCCACAAUCUCAGUUACAUCACUGAGUGAUUGGAUGCAUCUGAAAUGCAUCAAAAUAUGCAAAUUUUUGAGAAUUCUGGAAAAGAACUCUCUGUGCCCUGCCACAAAACAGUAGGUUUUGCUGCUAUUCAGAAUUAAAAAGGAGUCUACUCUCCUUUUACCCCUACUCUUGCAGCUCAGCCAAUGCAGCAAAAGGUCUGUUACAAGGUGAGAGGCAAGCAAUGUGUUGAAAUUGUGGAGGCAUCCCUGUCUAUUGUUUUUCUGAGUUAAUCAUGUGGUCACUAGAACUUGUAGAACUGCCAGUCUCUCAGGUAAGCAAAGCCAGCAGGUAAAGCGCUCUCCUUCUAAGAGAGUGUCUUAUUUGCUUUCUGGUAUAGAGGGUUGUAUUAAGAUAUGAGCUCAUAUGAUUUUAUAAUAGACAUCAGUGAUUCAUGUCAUCAGAAUGUAACUUGCAUUUUGGGUGGAUCACAAUGUCACUCAAAGUAACGAAAGUAUAAACAUGAAAAAUACUCUUUAACUUCUUUAAAAACCUGGAAAUAUAUAUUGAGAAAAAACUCAGUCUGUUUCCUUUUAAACUCUUACGUAUUCUCUACCUCAUUUCUAAAUUGUUAUCAUUUUCAUUAUCAGUAAGGUUG